rnacentral:rRNA from 1 species
GACGAACGCUGGCGGCGUGCUUAACACAUGCAAGUCGAACGGAAAGGCCCUGCUUUUGUGGGGUGCUCGAGUGGCGAACGGGUGAGUAACACGUGAGUAACCUGCCCUUGACUUUGGGAUAACUUCAGGAAACUGGGGCUAAUACCGGAUAGGAGCUCCUGCUGCAUGGUGGGGGUUGGAAAGUUUCGGCGGUUGGGGAUGGACUCGCGGCUUAUCAGCUUGUUGGGGGGGUAGUGGCUUACCAAGGCUUUGACGGGUAGCCGGCCUGAGCGGGUGACCGGCCACGUUGGGACUGAGAUACGGCCCAGACUCCUACGGGAGGCAGCAGUGGGGAAUAUUGCACAAUGGGCGGAAGCCUGAUGCAGCAACGCCGCGUGCGGGAUGACGGCCUUCGGGUUGUAAACCGCUUUCGCCUGUGACGAAGCGUGAGUGACGGUAAUGGGUAAAGAAGCACCGGCUAACUACGUG